CUCUCUCUCUCUCUCUCUCUCUCUCUCUCGCGCGCGAAAGCACAGAUGGCGGCCGGAAUCGUCGUCCCGUCUAUGAUUGCUCACUCCGCGUCACUCUCGAUCACUCUCUGAAUCAAGUUAUCCCCACCUCAAUCUCUCUCAAUCUCGAAUCCGCUCUCAAACUUUCUCUGCUAUCGAUCUCAAAUCGCUAUCACUCCGAUUUCCUCUUCUUCUUCCGUUGCUUCUCCUCUCCAUUCAAUCUCUCUCGGUUCAAGUUUCAAUUAGUUUCCGAUUUGACUCAACUCUUUUCGCCACAAUCUCUGCUUCAACUCCGAUUUGAUAUACCGGAGAAUGUUUGACGCCUUUUCCAUGGUACCGACGAGGAGAAAACUCCACCGUUAAAGACAGGUGAUUGGAGAAUCAGAGGAAGCUGUGUGAUGGUUGAAUCGUGAGAGGAGAUUGAAGAAUGAAGGUUAUUGAUGACAAAUGCGAUGCGGUUCUUGCGAUGAUUCGUAGAUAAAGGUUGUGAAGCUGCAAUUGUUGUUCUGAGAUGUAAAAAUCGUUAGAGUCUUGAAGAUUAUUACGUGAAGGUGUGAUUGAAUGAAGAAUCGGUGGAGAGUUCUUGGAGAUUGAAGAAGCGAUGAAGAUGAUGAGAGGAAGAUGAAGAUUCAAUGGUGGUGAUGAAUGAAUGAUUGGUUAUGGUUCUUGCUAUCGGUUCCCUUUGUUGUGUCGGAUUUUGUUUAUUUCUUCUUCUCUUCUUUUGUGAAUUCUGUCUUGGUUCGAACCGGUUUCGAAUUAUCGAGUUGGCUUGAACUUAUGCGUGAAGAGUAUUUGAACCGGUACAAUUUCCCAUUUUGCAGGUUGAGCACAUGGUUUUGGAAACAAAGAGUUCAUAUGGUAUGAAAGAACUUAGCCAAGAAGAACUGAUCCAAGAUUCUGAGCAUUAUUUAUAGAAUUUAAGAGAAAUAUCUUUUCAAAAAGUUAGGACCUAGAGUUGAAUGAUUGAAUUUGAAUUAUUGAUGUAAUGAUGGACUAUUGGUGGAUGUAAAUUGUAAUGAAUAUGAUUUUGAACAUUCUUGAUU